rnacentral:sRNA from 1 species
AAAGAGCGCUAGAUGGGUCUCCGGAGACCGG